rnacentral:rRNA from 1 species
UACGUAGGGUGCAAGCGUUGUCCGGAAUUAUUGGGCGUAAAGAGCUCGUAGGCGGUUUGUCGCGUCGAAUGUGAAAACGCGGGGCUCAACCCCGGGCCUGCAUUCGAUACGGGCAGACUAGAGUUCGGUAGGGGAGUCUGGAAUUCCUGGUGUAGCGGUGAAAUGCGCAGAUAUCAGGAAGAACACCCGUGGCGAAGGCGGCUCUCUGGUACGUGACUGACGCUGAGACGCGAAAGCGUGGGGAGCAAACAGG